rnacentral:rRNA from 1 species
GAUCCUGGCUCAGGAUGAACGCUAGCUACAGGCUUAACACAUGCAAGUCGAGGGGGCGAGCGGGGAUUGAAGCUUGCUUCAAUUGCCGGCGACCGGCGCACGGGUGAGUAACGCGUAUCCAACCUUCCGUACACUCAGGGAUAGCCUUUCGAAAGAAAGAUUAAUACCUGAUGGUAUGAUGAGAUUGCAUGAUAGCAUCAUUAAAGAUUUAUCGGUGUACGAUGGGGAUGCG